rnacentral:rRNA from 1 species
AUUGAACGCUGGCGGCAUGCUUUACACAUGCAAGUCGAACGGCAGCACGGGCUUCGGCCUGGUGGCGAGUGGCGAACGGGUGAGUAAUAUAUCGGAACGUACCCAGAAGUGGGGGAUAACGUAGCGAAAGUUACGCUAAUUCCGCAUACGAUCUAUGGAUGAAAGCAGGGGACCGCAAGGCCUUGUGCUCCUGGAGCGGCCGAUAUCUGAUUAGCUAGUUGGUGAGGUAAAGGCUCACCAAGGCGACGAUCAGUAGCUGGUCUGAGAGGACGACCAGCCACACUGGAACUGAGACACGGUCCAGACUCCUACGGGAGGCAGCAGUGGGGAAUUUUGGACAAUGGGCGCAAGCCUGAUCCAGCAAUGCCGCGUGAGUGAAGAAGGCCUUCGGGUUGUAAAGCUCUUUUGUCAGGGAAGAAACGGUAGAGGCUAAUAUCCUUUGCUAAUGACGGUACCUGAAGAAUAAGCACCGGCUAACUACGUG